UCGCUGGUUCGAUUCCGGCUCGAAGGAC
rnacentral:piRNA from 8 species